GGGAGUGUAGCUCUGUUGGUAGAGUGCUUGCCUAGCAUGCACAAAGCCCUGGGUUCUAUUCCCACCACCACCU
rnacentral:tRNA from 1 species